rnacentral:rRNA from 1 species
CGAUGGGCCGACGUCGCAUGCUCCCGGCCGCCAUGGUUAGAGUUUGAUCAUGGCUCAGAGCGAACGCUGGCGGCAGGCCUAACACAUGCAAGUCGAACGGACCCUUCGGGGUUAGUGGCGGACGGGUGAGUAACACGUGGGAACGUGCCUUUAGGUUCGGAAUAGCUCCUGGAAACGGGUGGUAAUGCCGAAUGUGCCCUUCGGGGGAAAGAUUUAUCGCCUUUAGAGCGGCCCGCGUCUGAUUAGCUAGUUGGUGAGGUAAUGGCUCACCAAGGCGACGAUCAGUAGCUGGUCUGAGAGGAUGACCAGCCACAUUGGGACUGAGACACGGCCCAAACUCCUACGGGAGGCAGCAGUGGGGAAUCUUGCGCAAUGGGCGAAAGCCUGACGCAGCCAUGCCGCGUGAAUGAUGAAGGUCUUAGGAUUGUAAAAUUCUUUCACCGGGGACGAUAAUGACGGUACCCGGAGAAGAAGCCCCGGCUAACUUCGUGCCAGCAGCCGCGGUAAUACGAAGGGGGCUAGCGUUGCUCGGAAUUACUGGGCGUAAAGGGCGCGUAGGCGGACAUUUAAGUCAGGGGUGAAAUCCCAGAGCUCAACUCUGGAACUGCCUUUGAUACUGGGUGUCUUGAGUGUGAGAGAGGUAUGUGGAACUCCGAGUGUAGAGGUGAAAUUCGUAGAUAUUCGGAAGAACACCAGUGGCGAAGGCGACAUACUGGCUCAUUACUGACGCUGAGGCGCGAAUGCGUGGGGAGCAAACGGGAUUAGAUACCCUGGUUAGUCCACGCCGUAAACAAUGA